rnacentral:rRNA from 1 species
UUGGAGGGCAAGUCUGGUGCCAGCAGCCGCGGUAAUUCCAGCUCCAAUAGCGUAUAUUAAAGUUGUUGCAGUUAAAAAGCUCGUAGUUGAAUUUCGGGAUCAAUGUUUCGGUCAUGCCGUUGGUAUGUACUGAUAUUAUUGAUUUCUCACCUUCUAAAGAACCGUAAUGCCAUUAAUUUGGUGUCACGGGGAAUUAGGACUGUUACCUUGAAAAAAUUAGAGUGUUUAAAGCAGGCUCACGCUUGAAUACAUUAGCAUGGAAUAAUGAAAUAGGACAUCCGAUUCUAUUUUGUUGGUUUCUAGGAUCGAUGUAAUGAUUAAUAGGGAUAGUUGGGGGCAUUAGUAUUCAAUUGUCAGAGGUGAAAUUCUUGGAUUUAUUGAAGACUAACUACUGCGAAAGCAUUUGCCAAGGAUGUUUUCAUCAAUCAAGAACGAAAGUUAGGGGAUCGAAGACGAUCAGAUACCGUCGUAGUCUUAACCAUAAACUAUGCCGACUAGGGAUCGGAUGAUGUUAAUUUUUUAAUGACUCAUUCGGCGCCUUACGGGAAAC